UUUGCCGACAGCAGUUGCGAACCCCAAUAACACCGGACCACGGUGAUGAUAAUAAUAAUAAAAAAAUAAUAAUAUAUCAUUGCGGUUGAUGCGAUAUCGUCCUGCGGAGUGUGUAUAUGACCUAUUGCCGUGUUCGUUUUAUCGAAAUAAUAAAAUUGGAAAACCAGUGAAACGCUGCAGAGGCCCACAGCAAUCACCCCCAGCCGGCGCACGUCCGCGUCAAAUUUUAAAUUCUGGAUACGUCAUAAAGGUCUACGGUUUUCUGCGACAGAAGGAAAUUUACAAAUUCAUCAUCGACCCAUCCACCCACCAUUUUAUCACCAUAUUUUAACAAAACGAUAGCAAAUGUUUUUUUAGCGAAUAAACUUCCACAAAUCGUUAUAGUUUUUUCGUAGUUAAUCCCCCCUUCACCCGUUUACUCGCGUCACUGUCGCCAUACAUAUAUUAUACAGUACAAUGACUGUACAGGAGAAGGGUAGUAUACUAAAAUAUGAUGUGUUUUAGUCAUCGCUUACACAGUUACACCAUCGACUAGGCCACGUCAUGCCACUGGUCGUUUCAGGGUGCAGUAUGUUAAAUGUACAGGAAACCCGUGCGCGUGUCGCCAAAGGGUUGUUCAGUCCACUGCGGUACGAGCAGCCGAUCCAAUCACUGUCGUGCAAAUAUGGGUAAGUCCGAUACGCAUGCCCCAAGCAAAGCAGGAAAUUCUCAAACUUGAAAACGAUCGUUUUAGCUGCCCUGCAAAAUCUUGUGGACCUCACUGGGAUGUUAAAAUCAUACAGGUUGACGUUGUGGUCACGUUUCUUCGCUGCAGUCGCUAAUGACCUUUUCAGAUACUAGAGAAAUCCAGAAAUCUGUACGUCGACGUUUGUAACACCUACAAGUUCAGUAUCAACAAUAUUCAACCAGCCUGCGUCCAGUUUGACCUGUAGCUUUGAUCUAGUGAUUGUGCAUAUUGCCUGGACGAGGACAUCACACCGAUGGCAACCGAAUGUACGCCGUUGACCAAUGCCGAUGACGUCACACCGGUAUCGGGUUCCGGGUACAUUUCGUUGUCGAAACAUGAAACUGAUCACACUCCGCCGUGCCUGAAACCAAGAUGUUGCGUGUACGCCGCACUGCUGUGAGUUGUUCUUAAAAUUAUUAUAAUACUCGUUGAUAUUUAUUAUCAUUGAUCUCGUACCUGAUAUAAAGUGAUUUAUUUCUCAAAACACUGCGAUUCAGUGGGUCGGAUCAAAAAAAAAAACACCGUCGUCGUACUUAUAUUGUACAUGUAUAAUAAUUAUGCUGGCUUAGAAUAUGAAAAGGUUCUAUCGUAUCACUUUGAAAUAAUUAAAGUCAUUCAUGAGAGUGAUGUUGAACCUAUUAUAUUUUGUUCA